GUCGUUUUACAAAUCAUGUUUAUCCGCACUGUGAACAGUGGAAACAAAGAGUGUGCUGUGACAUCUUGUGUUUAAAGGAGAAUCAUCCCAGAUCACCCACUCUGUCAUCCAGAGUGUCAUCCAUCUCAUCUGAGAGGAUAAAGGUUGUCAGCAGCAUUAUAAAGACCGCCCAGUGUUGCCCACCUCAGUUUAUCAACUCAAAGAGCAACCAGCACAAAUAGAGGAGAUGGAGUCGGACACCAAAGCUGGGCCAGUGCGUGUGAUGGUGACUGGUGGAUCUGGGUUGCUGGGCAAAGGUAUUGAGCAUGUGGUGAUGAACGAAGGUCUGAAACGGGAGGGAGAGGAAUGGAUCUUCCUCUCUUCCAAAGAUGCUGAUUUUGUAGAUCUUAAGCAGACCAGAGAAGUUUUCGAGAAGUAUCGUCCGACUCAUGUCAUCCACCUCGCUGCAAAAGUUGGGGGACUCUAUCAACACAUGAAGGAGAACCUGAACUUUCUGAGGGACAACCUCAGAAUCAAUGAAAACUUACUGCGAACAGCCCAUGAGAUGGAUGUCGUCAAGGUUGUGUCGUGCCUGUCCAGUUGUAUUUUCCCUGACAAAACCACAUACCCCAUUGAUGAGACCAUGAUACACAAUGGACCACCACAUGAGUCUAAUUUUGGAUACUCCUAUGCUAAAAGAAUGAUUGACGUUCAGAACAGGGGAUACUUCCAGCAGCAUGGUCGUCAUUACACAGCUGCCAUUCCGACCAAUGUGGUCGGUCCAUACGACAACUUUAACAUAGAAAAUGGUCACGUGCUGUCGGCGCUCAUACACAGGACACACAAAGCCAAAGUGGAAGGGACGUCCUUGACUGUGUGUGGCUCUGGAGCUCCAAGAAGACAGUUCAUCUACUCCCUGGACGUGGGCCGUCUGCUUGUUUGGGUCCUGAGAGAAUAUGACGAAAUCGAGCCGAUUAUCCUCUCUGUGGGUGAAGAGGAUGAGAUCUCCAUCAAAGACGCUGUGGAAAUGAUCGCAGAGGCUCUGGACUUCAAGGGCGAAAUAAAGUAUGACACCAGCCUGUCAGACGGCCAGCUGAAGAAGACAGCCAGCAAUGCCAAGCUAAGACGCUACCGUCCGGACUUCACCUUCACGCCCGUCAAAGAAGUCAUAAAGCUGACAUGUGAUUGGUUCUUGGCCAACUAUGACAUUGCCCGGAAAUGAGGUAACCAAAGCUGAGUUGAAAAUGUCCACUGUUCUUUGGUUUUGGUGUUGAGGAAGUUGUUAACACUGUGACAUAUUGUUGUGUUAUAAUAAACUGAAAUGGUCUCUGGUAUCAUAUUUUAAAGUAGUGUCACAUCAAGGGGUUUGAGAACCCUCCAAAAGAGGUCUGUAGUUUAUCAGAUAAAUUAUAUUUUCAUAAUAACUAAGGUUAUGGGCAAGGGGGUAAAAUAAUGCACUAAAAUUAGGUUACAUUUUGCUGUGGGGAAACCUGGCAUGGCCAUUUUCAAAGGAGUCCCUCAGUAUAACUGUAUGAAAAUUGAUGCUAUGGGUACCCGCAGGUCUACCCUUUGCAGACAUGUCCACUUUAUGUUAUGUUUAAUUCAUGCAAUUUGGGGUAGAGAUCAGGUCUUUUGCCUGCAGUUGUAACAGGGUUAUUAUAGAUUAAUCAAGUUUGUCAAAAUGUAUUUUCAUAUUCCUUCAAUAAUUUAUUUUGCAAGCAAUGUAUUUUUUUUGUUUGCCAUUCUCAUUAUUUUCUUGUGAAAAAAGUUAAUAUUUUUAUAUUUAUUUUCAUGGAAGGCUCCUUUUAUUUUGUUGUAAUUAGUUACAGCAACAUCAAUUUCUCCCCGUUGCCAUUGACGACCGCAGCUGUGGUGUAGGGCAAGGAGCUGUGCAGCAGAUCAUCACCAGCCACAUUAUUGUGUUUUUUUAUUAUUCAACAGAUGUGCUGCACUUUUAAAUAAACAUGCUGUGAACCCAAA